GACGAACCUUGCUAACGUUAUUCGGAAUUACUGGGCUUAAAGGGUGCGUAGGCGGCGCAGCAAGUUGGGUGUGAAAGCCCCCGGCUCAACUGGGGAGGGUCACUCGAUACUGAUCGACUCGAAGGCAGAAGAGGGAAGCGGAAUUCCCGGUGUAGUGGUGAAAUGCGUAGAUAUCGGGAGGAACACCAGUGGCGAAGGCGGCUUUCUGGUCUGCUCUUGACGCUGAGGCGCGAAAGCUAGGGUAGCAAACGGG
rnacentral:rRNA from 1 species